GAUGAACGCUGGCGGCGUGCCUAACACAUGCAAGUCGAGCGAACGGACCAGGAGUUUGCUUUUCUGAUGUUAGCGGCGGACGGGUGAGUAACAUGUGUAUAACCUACCUAUAAGACUGGGAUAACUACGGGAAACCGGCGCUAAUAGCGGAUAAUAUUUUGAACCGCGUUGUUCGUAGGUGAGAGUCGGUCUUGCUGGCAGUAAUAGCUGGAUCUGCGCUGGAUUAGCUAGUUGUUACGGUAAAGGCUUACCACGGCGACGAUGCGUAGCCGACCGGAGGGGGUGAUCGCCGACCCGGGAGCGGAGCCACGGACAAUACUCCUAAGAGAGGCAGCAGUAGGGAAUCGUCCGCAAGGGGCGAAAGCCUGACGGAGCAACGCCGCGUGAGUGAUGAAGGUGUUCCGAUCGGAAAGCUCUGUUAUUAGGGGAGAACAUAUGUGUAAUUAGCUGUGCAGAUCUUGACGGUACCUGAUCAAGAAGCCCCGGCUAACUACGUG
rnacentral:rRNA from 1 species